GACCACUUAGCUCAGUUGGUUAGAGCGUCACGUUGACAUCGUGAAGGUCGGUGGUUCAAAUCCACCAGUGGUCA
rnacentral:tRNA from 1 species